GGGGGCGUACCGGUUUCGACGGGAGCCCUUGCGCUUAGGAGGCAUGCCGGGGGUCCACACCACCCGUGAUCGGCGUGGGCCAAAGACAACUGCCAACACGCAGUAUGCCUACGCUGCCUAAUUAAUUAGGUAGCCGUCUCCUCCCUCAGGCCCGCAUAAGGGAACGAGGCGUCGAUUGGCGGGAUAGUCCUGGGUUUGCCGCCUGAGGACCUGGGAUGAGACUCUCCAGGCUAGUCGGCGGUUCGUUGUUGCCCGUUCCUGAGGGCCGCCGGCGAAAGCAGGAAGCGAACGAGAUAAGCAUGUAGGCUCCUAACCGUAAGACUCUUCGGACGGGGGUUCGACUCCCCCCGCCUCCACCA
rnacentral:tmRNA from 1 species